GAGUUUGAUCCUGGUUCAGGACGAACGCUGGCGGCGUGCCCAAUACAUGCAAGUCGAACGGGGUCCAUCCGGUGGCAACACCGGGGAAGACUAAGUGGCGAACGGGUGCGUAACACGUGAGCAACCUGCCCCGAAGACCGGAGUAACAGCGGGAAACCGCUGCUAAUACCGGAUGCCCCCACGAGCCCGCAUGGGUUUGUGAGGAAAGGAUUACCGCUUCGGGAGGGACUCGCGGCCUAUCAGCUUGUUGGUGGGGUAAUGGCCCACCAAGGCGACGACGGGUAGCUGGUCUGAGAGGACGAUCAGCCACACUGGGACUGAGACACGGCCCAGACUCCUACGGGAGGCAGCAGUAGGGAAUCUUGCGCAAUGGGCGAAAGCCUGACGCAGCAACGCCGCGUGGGGGAUGAAGGCCUUCGGGUUGUAAACUCCUUUCAGUGGGAACGAAACUGACGGUACCCACAGAAGAAGCCCCGGCCAACUACGUGCCAGCAGCCGCGGUGAUACGUAGGGG
rnacentral:rRNA from 1 species